GAGCCCUGUUUGUAACCUGUUAAUCUGGCUGGAGUAAACGGGUUCCAUUCCAGUGCUGCAGUGUCUCUAAUGCCCAUGACUGACUGGCUGGUGGCUUUCCAUUUCAGGUCUUGGAGUCAAAG
rnacentral:snoRNA from 1 species